UUCAAAAUAAGCUAAUUAAAGCUAACGGGUUCAUACCUCGUAAAUGACUUAACUUUCUUUUGAAA
rnacentral:tRNA from 1 species